GUACACUCCUGCGGGAGGCAGCAGUGGGGAAUUUUGGACAAUGGGCGAAAGCCUGAUCCAGCAAUGCCGCGUGAGUGAAGAAGGCCUUCGGGUUGUAAAGCUCUUUUGUUAGGGAAGAAACGGUGAAAGCUAAUAUCUUUUGCUAAUGACGGUACCUGAAGAAUAAGCACCGGCUAACUACGUGCCAGCAGCCGCGGUAAUACGUAGGGUGCAAGCGUUAAUCGGAAUUACUGGGCGUAAAGCGUGCGCAGGCGGUUUUGUAAGUCUGAUGUGAAAUCCCCGGGCUCAACCUGGGAAUUGCAUUGGAGACUGCAAGGCUAGAAUCUGGCAGAGGGGGGUAGAAUUCCACGUGUAGCAGUGAAAUGCGUAGAUAUGUGGAGGAACACCGAUGGCGAAGGCAGCCCCCUGGGUCAAGAUUGACGCUCAUGCACGAAAGCGUGGGGAGCAAACAGGAUUAGAAACCCGUGUAGUCCCA
rnacentral:rRNA from 1 species